rnacentral:lncRNA from 1 species
CUGCUUUUUGGUGCACAGUACAAAUAGUUUAACAACAGAUACACCUAAAUGCAUGUGCAAACAAUAUAUCAUCCUCGAGCCAAAUGUCUUUUAACAGAGCCAGAGCCCUCACAUAAAGCACUUGUUUUCCCAUCAGCUUUUUUAAUAAAUAAAUAAAUAAAUAAAAAUUAAAAAAUCUUGACCAGGAGCACUUUUCUUUUUCCUUUCUAUUCCUCAAAGCUCUCCCAAACCACAUGCAUUUAUACCUGCUGGCAGGAAAAAAAAAUGACAAAAUUGAAGCUUUAAAAUAAAAGCAUAAAAUAAAUAUAUAUUGCUCCUUGCAAGUUAAUUACAAAAAGUCCUAUUACUGUUGGUGUGUGUGUGUGGAGAGUGGAGGUAGCUAGAGUUUCAAUAUUAAAAGCAAUUGUUUAACUUUUUGUAAUAAGAACCAUUUUUCAUAGCACUACAUAGCUCAUACACAGUUAUAUGGGAUCCUCCUCCUCUUCCAUUCCCAGCUGCUUAACAUCUCUGAGCCAUCUCUGAGGUUUGGAGAGGAAAAGACUAAGAAAGAAGUCUGCACUGUACCCCUUAAAGUAGAAUACCUUUCAACAUGUGCUGAAAAAAUGCAGAACUCAAGCAAACCUUGCUGCUCUGUUGUAGUACUUGAAUCACAUUUUGAGAGUGUGUCAUAAACCAACACAGAUGUCAGCCGGUCUUAGGAGAUACAAGCAACAGACAUCCAAAAAAAAAAAAAAAAAAACCCUUUCCUUUAAAACCUAGGAUUAAUACAUAGAUAUAGGACACAUCUGGGUGAAUUUCAGGGACUUAUAUCUAUAAAUUUUAAUUGAACAUCUUUAACAGUAAUUUAUCAAGUUUAUUGCCUC